CCGUUUUGCCCACUUGGGCGUUUCCUCCCUAGACUUGGGCCGUUCGCAUGCGAACGGCCUUUUUUCCUGCCCAAA
rnacentral:sRNA from 1 species